rnacentral:rRNA from 1 species
AAUGAACGCUGGUGGCAGACCUAACACAUGCAAGUCGAACGGUCUAUAUUAAACUUCGGUUUUUAUAGAUAGUGGCAAACGGGUGAGUAAAGCAUGGGAAUCUACCUAGAAGUUUGGAAUAGCUAUUAGAAAUGAUAGAUAAUACCAAAUACACCUCGAGAGGGAAAGUUGACUUCGGUCUUCGCUUUUAGAUGAGCCCAUGUUAAAUUAGUUAGUUGGUAGGGUAAUGGCCUACCAAGAUGAUGAUUUAUAGCUGGUCUUAGAGGAUGAUCAGCCACACUGGAAUUGGAGAUACGUCCAGACUCCGUACGGGAGCAGCAGGUGGGAAUUAGUGGAACAAGUGGGCGACAAGCCUGACUCC